rnacentral:lncRNA from 1 species
GUAUAUCAUUGAAAAUCACUAGAGUAGACACAUAUGAGACGUGGUGCACGUAGGAUGCUGAUUAAUCAGUAGGAAUAGUAGGCAUCGGAAAAGAGAUAACUAGUGUGUGCACGGAAUUACGUAGAUGCUUGCAUGCAUGCGGUUGUGCAUGCUGUAUGAUUUGUUGCUUAACUUGCAGAUGACAGGUCAUAUGCAUGCAAAUUACAUAUCGCAACCCUCCUCAUUUGACUAAGUUCAAGACAUCGCAUCAUGUAAAGCAUGCUGCUAUGAUUCUUAAGCUACACGUUUGCCUAGGGAUAGUGGCGUUUAAGACCAUAUGUUGUUCCUAGUAGUGAAACACAUGACUAAUAGAUUUUUUAUCCUACAAAACAUAAUCAGAUCCAAUGGUUACAUUAUGAGUCAUUUUUACAUAAAAGAACUGUCUACUUUAACACAUUUUGCUAUGGUCUAAUCGUUGCAAUAAGCUUGACAAACAGCUUCUCCUGCGAGAAUUUAGCCCUUUGUCAAUUUUGGGCUGAGGCUUUCGUGUUUGCCGUUGUUAUUAUUUUCUCUCACCAUUCUUUUGUCCCACACAUGUUCAUUAUUGGAUUUUGUAAAGUUUCCCCUUCAAUGUAUACUAGGCUAGAGUAAGGCCGCCGCAGUCUCCAUACAAAAGAAAAUCAGUUGGUAAAGUAAGAUUUUUGAUGCACCCAUAUUGACCCUAACCUGCAAAGGCUAUUUAACAUAUCCAUGAUAUUUAUUCUACUUAUAUAAAAAACACCUCAGAGCAUUGAUUCAAACAUCACCCACCACAUCUAACACCAUCAAAAAGCAUUCAGGGACAACACGUUCUCUUAUCUUUCAUUCAAUAUAUAUUUAUAUAGAAAAAUGUAUUGUAAAAAAAUACCUAUGAUAUUUAUUCUAUUUAUAUAGCAAAAUGUACUGUAAAUUAAAUCACAUUAGAGCAUUGAUUCAAACGUCACCCACCACAUCUAACGCCAUCAAAAAACAUUCAGGGACAACAUGUUCUCUUAUCUUUUGUUCAAUAUAUAUUUAUGUAGAAAAAUGUACUGUAAAAAUAUCCAUGAUAUUUAUUCUAUUUAUAUAAAAAAUGUACUGUAAAUCAGAACACCUGAGAGCAUUGAUUCAAACAGCACCCACCACACCUAACACCAUCAAAAAGCAUUCAGGGACAACACGUUCUCUUAUCUUUCGUUCAAUAUAUAUAUAAGAGGCACAUCUGCACUAUCCAAUAUAUACACACAUCCACUUCGUAGUGUGUGGUGUUAAAGAAUCACUAGUAAAUAGAUGGAAUAGGUUGUAAAAGAUGUGUGCUAAGAUGGAUGCAUGGAUGUCGUAUAGGAUGUAGGGUGUCAAUUGAUUUGUUUGACUUGUAGGCACCGGGAACUCACUAGCUAGUUGGCAGUUGCGCUCUAGUAGUUUCUGGCAUGCAUGCAUGUUACUUCCUCCAUUUCUAAAUAUAA